rnacentral:rRNA from 1 species
GAUGAACGCUGGCGGCGUGCCUAACACAUGCAAGUCGAACGGAGUCCAGCCUUUAAGACCUUCGGGUCAAAGAGGGGAAGACUGAGUGGCGGACGGGUGAGUAACACGUGGGCAACCUGGCUCAUAGAGGGGGAUAACAGAGAGAAAUUUCUGCUAAUACCGCAUAAGCACACACUGCCGCAUGGCAGAGGGUGAAAAGAGAAUCGCUAUGAGAUGGACCCGCGUCUGAUUGGCCAGUUGGCAGGGUAAGAGCCUACCAAAGCGACGAUCAGUAGCCGAUCUGAGAGGAUGAACGGCCACAUUGGGACUGAGACACGGCCCAAACUCCUACGGGAGGCAGCAGUGGGGGAUAUUGCACAAUGGGGGGAACCCUGAUGCAGCGACGCCGCGUGAGUGAAGAAGUAUUUCGGUAUGUAAAGCUCUAUCAGCAGGGAAGAUAAUGACAGUACCUGAAUAAGAAGCCCCGGCUAACUACGU